UGGCGAAAGGGAGAGUAACGCGUGGUUACGUGCCCUCGGGACCGGGAUAGCGUCGGGAAACUGGCGGUAAUACCGGAUAACAUCUUUGGAUCAAAUGGUGUGAUUCCGCCCGAGGAUCGGACCGCGUACUAUUAGCUUGUUGGUGAGGUAACGGCUUACCAAGGCUGCGAUGGUUACCGGGUGUGAGAGCAUGGCCCGGCUCACUGGGACUGAGACACUGCCCAGACAUCUACGGAUGGCUGCAGUCGAGAAUCUUCGGCAAUGGACGAAAGUCUGACCGAGCGACGCCGCGUGCGGGAUGAAGGCCCUCGGGUUGUAAACCGCUGUCAGUUUGGAGGAAAUCCAUAGGGGUCAUCCCUUAUGGUUGACCGAUAUUCAGAGGAAGGACGGGCUAAGUUCGUGCCAGCAGCCGCGGUAAC
rnacentral:rRNA from 1 species